GAGUCAUGAUGUAGAUGGUUUACACUUUGAUUGCAAAUCUUAAGUAUUAGGUUCGAUUCCUACAUGACUCU
rfam:Triticum urartu cultivar G1812 contig542657, whole genome shotgun sequence.